CUGGUUGAUCCUGCCAGUGGUCAUACGCUUGUCUCAAAGAUUAAGCCAUGCAUGUCUAAGAAUGAGCCACUUUAAUGGGCGAGUCUGCGAACGGCUCAGUACACCAGAGAUAAUUUCCUUGGUAGAAAAGUUGUCGAAAGAUAAAUAUGGAUAACCAAAGUAACUCUUUGGCUAAUACAUGCUAAUGAAAUGGCUCGCAAGAGUCGCUCUUUCUCGUUGUUAAUAUGGUGGUUGACGCCUGGGUUCCUGGCGUGAGGGAUUACCGAAAGGGUUGGUCAGAGGCCAGUUUGAUCGGUGCCCUUGCGUUCCCAGGUGUCACAGAGGAAUCUGAGAAAGUUUGCAUAUCGCAGUGCCUCACGGCGGCGAAGUAUCAAUUAAAGCUCUGCCUGAUCAGUGCGGUCGGUAAGGUAUUGGCCUACCGAGACCAUCACCAGUAACGGAGAAUUAGGGUUCGACUCCGGAGAGGAAGCCUGAGAGAUGGCUGCCACAUCCAAGGACGGCAGCAGGCGCGCAAAUUACCCAAUCCUAAAACAGGGAGGUAGUGACAAGAAAUACCGGCUCUGGGAUCUAUUAGAUUUCAGGGACCUGGAAUGAGGACAAUUUAAACCUCUUACCUAGUAUCGAUUGGGGGGCAAGUCUGGU
rnacentral:rRNA from 1 species